rnacentral:lncRNA from 1 species
AAUAAUAAACAUUGUACUUUCUAUCGGUAAUUGUUACAUGGACAAUGAAAACCAAUAAAUCGAAGACCCACCGAAAUGACCAAUUGUUCUUAGGAAUCCAACAUCACUAAAGUUUCAUUAAGAUCCUCAUAGGAAGCAAUUACAAAUACAGCCACUGAUGAUAUUGAUAGAGUAAUAUUGAUAACAUGCCCAUUACAGCGUCCAAAUUAAAUUUUUUAUCCGUUAAAUCCGAAGUCCAUUAAAUCAAGAAUCUAUUGUAUUUUUAAGAAAAAACAUACAAGUUUAAAAUCGAAUUCGAAAACGAACAUCAUCUUCUGAAAACUUCUAAAAAUAUGAAUUAUUCGUAUAAAAAUAAAUGAAGAUAACUGAAAGAAGAAAAUGUAAGGAAAAAUUGCCAAGAAAGGGAGUGAUAUACAAGUGUAUUUGAUGAUCCGAUCAAUGACAAAUAGUAAAACUAUGCCAUUGAUAAACGAGAAAUUCAACAAUGAAAGAGAAAAGCAACAUUAAAAAAAAGGUGAAAUUACUGUAUUAAAUAAAAAGAAAUUUAAAUAAA